CCAAGGCAUGCCAGGAUUUCACCCAGGGGCAAUACCUCCCUUUGGACAAGCACCACCUAUGGUCCCACAAUUCCAAGGUGGGCCCCCUCGACCGCUGAUGGGAAUGCGACCUCCUGUCAUGUCUCAAGGUGGCCGCUACUGACCAUGCUGCACGAUAAAUAGGUUUUUAGAAGUGGCGUAUAGUAAAUAUGGUUCGUUUAAUUGUGAAGGCGCCAAAUACCACCACAAGGCAAGUUGUGUGACAUUACUUUGCUGUAUGUAAGGUGACGCCUUCACAGCUCCUCCCAGGGCUGUUGGACCCCUGGUCCCCAACUAUGGUUGGUGAGGGCAGUAUCAGUUUGUUGUAUCUGGAUAUCCUCCGACCUCUGUAUUCACUUGCGCAUUAUGUAAUAAAACGAGAGAAACCCUUAAAAAAAAAAAAAAAAAAAA